AUGAAGUUGGAAUCGCUAGUAAUCGCGGAUCAGCAUGCCGCGGUGAAUACGUUCCCGGGCCUUGUACACACCGCCCGUCACACCAUGAGAGUCGGGAACACCCGAAGUCCGUAGCCUAACCGCGAAGGGGGGCGCGGCCGAAGGUGGGUUCGAUAAUUGGGGUGAAGUCGUAACAAGGUAGC
rnacentral:rRNA from 1 species